rnacentral:rRNA from 1 species
GAACAACUCAGGGAAACUUGAGCUAAUACCGGAUGUGCCCUUCGGGGGAAAGAUUUAUCGCCAUUGGAGCGGCCCGCGUCUGAUUAGCUAGUUGGUGAGGUAAAGGCUCACCAAGGCGACGAUCAGUAGCUGGUCUGAGAGGAUGAUCAGCCACAUUGGGACUGAGACACGGCCCAAACUCCUACGGGAGGCAGCAGUGGGGAAUCUUGCGCAAUGGGCGAAAGCCUGACGCAGCCAUGCCGCGUGAAUGAUGAAGGUCUUAGGAUUGUAAAAUUCUUUCACCGGGGACGAUAAUGACGGUACCCGGAGAAGAAGCCCCGGCUAACUUCGUGCCAGCAGCCGCGGUAAUACGAAGGGGGCUAGCGUUGCUCGGAAUUACUGGGCGUAAAGGGAGCGUAGGCGGACUGUUAAGUUAGAGGUGAAAGCCCAGGGCUCAACCUUGGAAUUGCCUUUGAUACUGGCAGUCUUGAGUACGGAAGAGGUAUGUGGAACUCCGAGUGUAGAGGUGAAAUUCGUAGAUAUUCGGAAGAACACCAGUGGCGAAGGCGACAUACUGGUCCGUUACUGACGCUGAGGCUCGA